CUUGACCUCGGAUCGGGUAGGACUACCCGCUGAACUUAAGCAUAUC
rnacentral:rRNA from 1 species